AAGUGUAAUCCCAGAUCUGGAAAUUGUGAUCCUAGAUUUGGAAAGAAUGAUCCCAGUUAUGGCAGGUGUGAUCCCAGAUCUGCAAAGAGUGAUCCCAGAUCUGGAAAUUGUGAUCCCAGAUAUGGAAAUUGUGAUCCCAGAUAUGGAAAUUGUGAUCCCAGAUAUGGAAAUUGUGAUCCCAGAUCUAGAAAGAGUGAUCCCAGGUUUGGGAAGUGGGAUCUCAAAUUUGGCAAGUGUAAUCCCAGAUCUGGAAAUUGUGAUCCCAGAUCUGCAAAGAGUCUCACAGGUGUGACCCCAGGUCUGAAAGUGUGAUCUCAGACCUGGAAAUUGUGAUCCCAGAUUUGGAAAUUGUGAUCCCAGAUCUCACAGGUGUGAUCCCAGCCCUGAAGGCACAGUCAGCUGUGAGCUUUAGAGCUUCAAAGUGAAGAAAUUGGCUGAGAUAAAAAAAAAAAAAAUUUUUUUUUUUAAAAUCUCAGGAUAAUAAACAGCAGGAGCAGGGGUGUUGUUGUGAGCUGAGAUCUGUCCCUGCCUCAGCUCACAAGGGAGACAACACUGAACAUUUCCAGAGGGGCUGGGCAGGGUUUGAAACAUCUUGGGGUGCUUUGGGGGUAGAGCCCCCCCUCAGCUGGAGGGGCUUGGCUGAAUUUGGAUAAAAGGGACAAAACCAGAGGGGUUUGACUGAGCUUGACCAGAGGGACUUGGCUGAAUUUGGUCAGAGGGACAAAACCAGAGGGGUUUGGCUGAAUUUGGCCAGGUGGCCUUGGUUGAAUUUGGUCAGAAGGAUAAAACCAGAGGGGCUUGGCUGAAUUUGACCAGAAGGACACAACCAGAAGGGCUUAGCUGAGCUUGGCCAGAGGUGUUUUGCUGAAUUGGUCAGAGGGACACAACCAGAGGGACUUGGCUGAAUUUGGCCAGAGGGACAAAACCAGAGGGGUUUGGCUGAAUUUGGCCACAAGGGCUUGACUGAAUUUGGAUAAAGGGACACAACCAAAGGGGCUUGGCUGAAUUUGGUCAGAAGGAUAAAACCAGAAGGGCUUGGCUGAAUGUGGCCAGAAGGAUAAAACCAGAAGGGCUGAAUUUGGCCAGGUGGGUUUGGCUGAAUUUGGAUAAAGGGACACAACCAGAGGGGUUUGACUGAAUUUGGAUAAAGGGAUACAACCAGAGGGGUUUGACUGAAUUUGGCUAAAAGGGACAAAACCAGAGGGGUUUGACUGAGCUUGACCAGAGGGGCUUGGCUGAAUUUGGCUAAAGGGACACAACCAGAAGGGUUUGACUGAAUUUGAAUAAAGGGACACAACCAGAAGGGUUUGACUGAAUUUGGUCAGAAGAUUAAAACCAGAAGGGCUGAAUUUGGCCAGGUGGGUUUGGCUGAAUUUGGCCAGAGGGACAAAACCAGAGGGGUUUGGCUGAAUUUGGUCAUAAGGAUAAAACCAGAAGGGCUUGGCUGAAUUUGGCCACAAGGGCUUGGCUGAAUUUGGUCAGAGGGACAAAACCAGAGGGGUUUGGCUGAAUUUGGUCAGAAGGAUAAAACCAGAAGGGCUUGGCUGAGCUUGACCAGAAGGAGAAAACCUGUCCCCUCUGCUGCCCUGGUGUCACUUUUCCAUGCAGGGCCAAGUGUGGGCACAGCUGUGCCAGGGCAUCCCAAACUUUGAUUUUUUUCCCCAUUUUUUCCCUUCUUGUAUUCAAACCUGGGGAAAAAAAUAACAAAACCCCCAAAUUAACACCAACAUCACAACAAAAAACCCCAAACCUUAGAACCUGCAGAGCCAGGGUUUGGGGUGGCACUGUCCCCUCCUGGUGCCACUUCUCCAUGCAGGGACAAUUGUGGGCACAGCUGUGCCAGGGCAUCCCAAACUUUGAUUUUUUUUUUUUCCCUUCUUGUCUUUUCUUUUGUCUCAAGGAAAAACCACCCCAAAUUAACACCAAAAUCACAACAAAAAAACCAAUUGUGGGCACACAAAACCUGCCCCAAUUUCAGCCCCCAGGACCAAAGGAGGGCAGGCAGGAGUGAAGGAUGCCCAGCAGGGUUUUCCUCCUGUGUGUGUCACCUGUGUCACCUGUGUCACUUCCCUGCCGUGUUUGCCCAGGGUGUGCUGGAAUGUGGCUCUGCCUUCAGGUGUUUCCUGGAUCCUCCUGUGAGAAAAAUCCCUCACAAGGCUGCUCCUGCCACCCUUCAGGGCGAGGACAGGGAGUGUGGUGGCACUGGGAGCUGUCCCUUGUCCCCACAGGGUCCUGUUGUGGCCCCCAGCCCCUGUGGGAGCUGCUCGGGGCAGUGGCUGCACACCCUCCUGCUGCCUGUCCCAGCCAUGUUGUAAAUAGGUAACAAAUAUAUAUAUAAAAAAAAAAAAUAUAUAUAUAUAUAUAUAAUUUUUUUACAUGUUCACCUC